rnacentral:lncRNA from 1 species
GGCUCCCUGACGGCGGCCAGUUAAGAGCCUGCAUGGUGGGGGCACUGCAGGAGGGGCAGGAGGGCUCUUGCGAUGGCAUAGAAUUUGGAUGGAAUGAGCAAUGGGAUGUCUUCCAGGUCUGAGGGGCCAUGUGACCUGGCUCAUGCAUUAGCUGCUGGCAUUCCUUCAGCUUGCUCUUUCUCUCUCUCUCUCUCUCUCUUUUUUUUUUUUUUUUUAUUAUUAUUGUCCCAAUCCACCGACUUCCAUGGAUCAGCUCAGCCCCCCUCGUCUAUCUGAACCCACCCCAGUGGCACCAGCCCAUACCAGUGACUUUACUGUCUGAAGAGCUCAGUUAUUGCUAUGACCCGAAGUUGUCAUAGACUCAACUUUCUUAUUUGCUGCCACUCACUGGGUGCUCUCUGUGCUCAGGGACAAUGCCCCUGAUGGUCCAUCGCUGGCCUCCUGUGCCACUUGGUUAGUUCUGAGCAGCCAGCAUGAGGAAUGCGUCUCCAGGGCGUCAGUGGUCACUGUCACUGGAUAUCGUCAUCCAAGGACUACGGGAAUGCCUCAUCCCAGGAGAGAUGCCACUGAAGACUGGUCCACGGGCUUCCUUUUAGUGUCUCUGGGCAUCAGGGCUGGACAUUUCCUCCUCUCCUGCCCUUCCACAGCCCCUCAGAAGACCAAUCUAAUCCAGCUUCCUUCAAAUUCUGCUCGUCUGGAUGUUUCCUGGUGACAUUUCAGCUAUUGCCUGGUCACGUGGGAAAGAGAACUGUUGCUAAAUGUGUGUGAUCUUUCGGGGUGGGGCCAAAAGGGGUCAGGUGUCGGGGAAAGGAGAGAGGGCGAGACAGGGGUAAGAGAUGCGUGCUGUGCCCGCUACAAGCCUGUGGAACCCUGGCCGUGUUCACACGUAGAGAACUCUGUUUCUUCCUCAAGAGAUUUUGUUCAGAUGUCUGGACUUUAGUUACGUACAGUAGAUCACCCUUGCAAACUUGCAACCUAUUUGCUCAGACAAUUUUCAUAGAGGUAUGAAUUUCAUAUGCAUAUGAAUACGGAAUUCUGGGCAAGAGAAAAGUGUUGAUAGGGUUAGUAUAAAUUAGAGACAGUUUAGGCCUGUGGUUGGUGUCAAGUAGCUUUUCUGCCUGUCCCAGCCCAGUGCUGGGCAUUUCAGGGCAGACGUGCAUGAAUAUGACCUUAAUAAACAAAAAGGGGAUCAGCCA